CCGCUUCUUUCAUUUAUUCUAACCCUAAAUCCCGCGGCGCUCUCUCUCUCUCCCCCCCACCCCCUCACUCACUCCAUUAACGCGCGGCUCUUGAUCUUCUCUCUCUUCUCUCCCUCCCUCCCUCACUCCAUUUCAGGGUUCCAUUUCCUCCUUCGUUAAAUUUCGUUCAUUCAGCAUUCCUUUUUUAUUUCGUUAAAUUUCGUUCGUGAAUUACAAUUGUUCGUUCUCCAUUUCAGUUCAUUUCGUUCAUUCGCACUCCAUUUCAGUUGUUCGUUCGUGAAUUUCAAUUACGGAUUUCGUUCUUCGCACUUCAACAUGAAGAUCUGUUUGAAGACCGUCUUUUUUUCGACAUUCGCACUCCAUUUCGCUUUUCCAGUUCGAAUUUCCAGAAAUUUCGCAAAGAACAAUUGAGGAAGAGCCAUAAAUUCCAGAAAUUUUGUUGUUGUAUUAUGAGCACCAAGAAGCCAGAAAUUUCGCAACGAAUCUUCAGCAAACGGACGAAUCUUCAGAAUUCAGAUCUUGUUUGAAGACCUCGUGUUUCAUUUCCGUUAAUUUUUCGAAGAACUUGUUUUUUCAUCCUAAAAUCUCCAGAUGUGUUCGAAGUAUAACAACGAGAUGGAAGGUCAAGAUGUGAAGGAAGCUCCAACAUUUUUUUACUAUUAUUGAUAGAUUUGUUUUUAUGAAUUAUUGUAAUAUAUAUGUUCUAAAAUUCGAAGCAUUUUCGUUUUUAUUUUUCCAGAUCUGGUCGAAUUUUUGUACAGUAUUGUUAUUAGUUUUAUUUGAUUUUCAAUCCUCUA